rnacentral:rRNA from 1 species
UACAGAGGUCCCAAGCGUUGUUCGGAUUUACUGGACGUAAAGGGUGCGUAGGCGGCCAAAAAAGUCUGAUGUGAAAGCUCGGAGCUUAACUCCGAAACUGCAUUGGAUACUGGUUGGCUUGAGGAAUGGAGGGGAGACUGGAAUUCUCGGUGUAGCAGUGAAAUGCGUAGAUAUCGAGAGGAACACCAGUGGCGAAGGCGAGUCUCUGGACAUUCCCUGACGCUGAGGCACGAAAGCCAAGGGAGCAAACGGG